rnacentral:rRNA from 1 species
UACGUAGGGUGCAAGCGUUAAUCGGAAUUACUGGGCGUAAAGCGUGCGCAGGCGGUUGUGCAAGACAGAUGUGAAAGCCCCCGGCUCAACUGGGGAGGGUCACGCGAUACUGAUCGACUCGAAGGCAGGAGAGGGUAGUGGAAUUCCCGGUGUAGUGGUGAAAUGCGUAGAUAAUCAGGAGGAACACCGGUGGCGAAGGCGGAUCUCUGGGCCAUUACUGACGCUGAGGAGCGAAAGUGUGGGGAGCGAACAGG